CCUCUCCAGCUGAAUCUAUAACCAAAAAGUCACCAUUCUCUCUCGCAUACUAGCUGAAUCUGUUCUUCCUUUCCUACACUCUUGAUCCAUUAUCAAUGGUUUGGAAUUUGUUUCAGAUUCAUCUAAUUCCGGUGAUGGGUUUUCACUUCUUUCUCGAUUGAAUUACGUGAAGAAAUCAUCCCUCUCUCUAUGAAUUCUCUGUACUGUUGAUCAAAACGAGAGGCAAUCAUUCUCUUACAAUACGUGUUCACAGUGCUUUAGAAGACCAAAAUCUGAUCAGUGAAGUGCAUUGAAAUUAUGCAAUGGGACCAUCAACAGGAGGAAGAACAAGACUCUCUGGAAUGCAGAAGCAAGUGCUUAGUCUGUACCGGGGCUUCUUACGAGCAGCUCGUUCAAAGUCCCCUGAAGAUCGACGGCAGAUUGAAUCCUUUGUUUCAGCUGAGUUCCGCUGCAACUCCAAACAAGUAGAUCGCAAGAAUUUCAUCUACAUUGAGUACUUGCUUCGCCGUGGUAAGAAGCAGCUUGAGCAGCUCAACAGUCCUGAUACUGUUGGAUUGUCAUCUAUGAAUGCCACUUUCACUGAAACUGAAAAUCCCAAAAACUAAGUUGAGAUGAAUUACUCUGACAUCUGCGUAAUAUUGUGAAAUCAUUUUUUCUUGUGCGAUGUAUUUCUUGUUCAAACAAUUCUGUUCAUAAAACACCUGCAGUCAUUUUUUUCA